AACGAACGCUGGCGGCGCGCCUAAUACAUGCAAGUCGAGCGAGAAGACGUAGCAAUACGUUUGUAAAGCGGCGAACGGGUGAGGAAUACGUGGGUAACCUACCCUCGAGUGGGGAAUAACUAGCCGAAAGGUUAGCUAAUACCGCGUACGCUCCUUGGACUUCGGUUCAGGGAGGAAAGCGAUACCGUGGGUAUCGCGCUCUUGGAUGGGCUCAUGUCCUAUCAGCUUGUUGGUGAGGUAACGGCUCACCAAGGCUUCGACGGGUAGCUGGUCUGAGAGGACGAUCAGCCACACUGGCACUGCGACACGGGCCAGACUCCUACGGGAGGCAGCAGUAAGGAAUAUUGCGCAAUGGGCGAAAGCCUGACGCAGCGACGCCGCGUGGGGGAUGAAGGU
rnacentral:rRNA from 1 species